rnacentral:rRNA from 1 species
GUGGGGUAACGGCCUACCAAGGCGACGACGGGUAGCUGGUCUGAGAGGACGACCAGCCACACUGGGACUGAGACACGGCCCAGACUCCUACGGGAGGCAGCAGUGGGGAAUAUUGCACAAUGGGCGAAAGCCUGAUGCAGCGACGCCGCGUGAGGGAUGAAGGCCUUCGGGUUGUAAACCUCUUUCAGCAGGGACGAAGCGCAAGUGACGGUACCUGCAGAAGAAGCACCGGCUAACUACGUGCCAGCAGCCGCGGUAAUACGUAGGGUGCAAGCGUUGUCCGGAAUUACUGGGCGUAAAGAGUUCGUAGGCGGUUUGUCGCGUCGUUUGUGAAAACCAGCAGCUCAACUGCUGGCUUGCAGGCGAUACGGGCAGACUUGAGUACUGCAGGGGAGACUGGAAUUCCUGGUGUAGCGGUGAAAUGCGCAGAUAUCAGGAGGAACACCGGUGGCGAAGGCGGGUCUCUGGGCAGUAACUGACGCUGAGGAACGAAAGCGUGGGUAGCGAACAGGAUUAGAUACCCUGGUAGUCCACGCCGUAAACGGUGGGCGCUAGGUGUGGGUUCCUUCCACGGAAUCCGUGCCGUAGCUAACGCAUUAAGCG